rnacentral:miRNA from 1 species
GCAGACACAUUCCAGCCAAUCAGCAGCGGACCUUCCCUCCCAGGCCCUCCCACUUCCUGGACAGCAUCCAUUUUGAAGCUGCAUUCUUAGUGAGCUGUCCAGGAGGUGGGAGGGUCUGGGAGGGAGGGUCUGCUGCUGAUUGGCUGGAAUGUGUCUG